AUUUAGCUGAUGAGUCCAAGAUAAAAUGAAAUGCGCAUCCUAGAC
rnacentral:hammerhead_ribozyme from 1 species